UACGUAGGGUGCGAGCGUUAUUCGGAAUUACUGGGCGUAAAGCGUGCGCAGGCGGUUUUGUAAGCCCGAUGUGAAAUCCCCGGGCUUAACCUGGGAAUGGCAUUUGGGACUGCAAGGCUCGAGUGCGGCAGAGGAGACUGGAAUUCCUGGUGUAGCAGUGAAAUGCGUAGAUAUCAGGAGGAACACCGAUGGCGAAGGCAGGUCUCUGGGCUGACACUGACGCUCAUGCACGAAAGCGUGGGGAGCAAACAGG
rnacentral:rRNA from 1 species